rnacentral:rRNA from 1 species
AGUCGCAAGACCGCGAGGUUUAGCAAAUCUCUUAAAGCCGUUCUCAGUUCGGAUUGUAGGCUGCAACUCGCCUACAUGAAGUCGGAAUCGCUAGUAAUCGCGGAUCAGCAUGCCGCGGUGAAUACGUUCCCGGGCCUUGUACACACCGCCCGUCACACCAUGAGAGUUUGUAACACCCAAAGCCGGUGGGGUAACCUUUUGGAGCCAGCCGUCUAAGGUGGGACAGAUGAUUAGGGUGAAGUCGUAACAAGGUAUC